rnacentral:rRNA from 1 species
UACGUAGGUGGCAAGCGUUGUCCGGAUUUACUGGGCGUAAAGAGCGCGCAGGCGGUCGGCCAAGUCGAGUGUGAAAGCCCCCGGCUCAACUGGGGAGGGUCACGCGAUACUGCUCGACUCGAAGGCAGGAGAGGGAAGUGGAAUUCCCGGUGUAGUGGUGAAAUGCGUAGGUAUCGGGAGGAACACCAGUGGCGAAGGCGACUUCCUGGCCUGUUCUUGACGCUGAGGCGCGAAAGCUAGGGUAGCAAACGGG